rnacentral:rRNA from 1 species
CCUACGGGAGGCAGCAGUGGGGAAUAUUGCACAAUGGGGGAAACCCUGAUGCAGCGACGCAGCGUGAGUGAAGAAGUAUCUCGGUACGUUAAGCUCUAUCAGCAGGGAAGUAAAUGACGGUACCUGACUAAGAAGCCAUGGAUAACGACGUGCCAGCAGCCGCGGUAAUACGUAGGGGGCCAGGGUUAUCCGGAUUUACUGGGUGUACAGGGGGCGUAGACGGCAGCACAAGUCUGGAGUGAAAGUCCGGGGCUUAACCCCGGAACUGCUUUGGACACUGUGCGGCUGGAGUGCAGGCGGGGUAAGCGGGAUGCCUAGUGGCACGGUGAAAUGCGUAGAUAUUAGGAGGAACACCGGUGGCGAAGGCGGCUUACUGGACUGUAACUGACGUUGAGGCUCGAAAGCGUGGGGAGCGAACAGGAUUAGAGACCCCUGUAGUC